UCCAUACUCAUCAAAUACAUAUAAACUAAUGUUUAUAUGCUCAUCAAACACAAUGACCAAAUGUAUAUACAUAUUCUAUAAAUCCAUAUGACUAAAUCAUACACAUAUUCGAUACAUGUAAACACAUGAUAUGAAUAGAUUCACCGGCACAAAACCUGCUAGGCUUAAGGCCUGAUUCAAUACAUUGGCACUUAGCCUGCUGGACAUAUAGUCUGAAAUGUUUCACCGGCGUCAAGCCUGCUAGACUUAAAGUCUGAAAUGUUUCACCGGUGUCAAGCCUGCUAGACUUAAAGUCUGAAAUGUUUCACCGUCGACAAGCCUGCUAGACUUAAAGUCUGAAACAUAUCACUGGCAUCAAGCCUGCUAGGCACCGAGCCUGAACACUCAAUUUAUAUAAAUACAAAUCACUUUCAAAAUGUAUAUGUAUAUAAGAUUCCAUGUAUAAAAAUUUAGCUCAAUAUAUAUAAAUUAUGCCUUUAAACCACAUAGGUAUAUAAAGUUCAGAUAUUGAAUCCAGCUCAAUAACUUAAUUAUACAUAUGAUCAUAUACAGAUAUAUAACUUAAUACAUUAAGGGCUACUAUUAAUAUCAUGCAUUCGAACAUCUUAUAGUAAUCCAAGCUAACAAUUUUGUACCUUCAACUCCAUUCAAAAGCUUCACAUGAAUAUAAUUACAUAAUUGAAUCUCACAUAAACUUAUAUAAUUAUCAUACCUAAAUUCAAUACAUAAACAUGUACAUAUAUAAGUUUGUAUAUAUUCGAGUCUCAUACAUACUUUAUAAAAUAGUCAUACCUAAAUUUAACACAAAAACAUAUUCAAUUAUAUUUGUAUUUCCAAACUUCAUAUAAACUUAUAUAAAAAUUAUACCCAAACUCAAUACAAAAACAUAUACAUGUAAAUAUAUAUUUAUGUGCUCAUUCAAUUCUAUCAUAUACAUAUAAAUUUCAACUCACAUGUACAUACCAUUUCAAAACUACUUAUGCAAAUAUAACAUAUAUAUUUUUAAUCAAUCCAAUAGUUUGUACAUAUAUGUACUUACAUAUAUAUAUACAUUCGAACCUUCUAUAUAUAUACACUAUACAUACCUUUCGAUUAAUAACCAAGAAUUUAUACAUAAGCCAUAUUCAUUCUUCAACUAAAUUCAAGAGCUUACAUAUAUGUGUAUACAUAUAUGUAUAUUCGAACAUUAAUCAUAUAUUUAUAUAUAUACAUAUCAUUUUUACUUUGACUAAAUUCAAGCUAUAUACUUUCAAUUUAAGCUCAUCCAAAUACAAUAUAUAUAUGUAUAUUAAUUAAUAACAUUAAAUUGCUAGUUGACUUACCUCGGACGGUGAAAAAUCGAAAUCGGACGAUUAUUCGACGAUUUUAUCUUUCCCCCGAUCAAACUCCGAUUUCUUUGGUUCUUGAUCUAAAUAUAUCCAGAAUGAGCUAAUUUAAAUAUUAAAACAUUCAAUUUAAUCCAAAAACACAUAAAUAAGAAAAUUACCAUUUUGCCCCUAAUAUUUUACACUUUUUGCAAUUUAAUCCCAAUUGCAUAAAACACAAUUUACACAAAAUCUCACAACAACAUAGCUAGGCCGAAUCUUCCUUGUAUUCAUACAAGUCCAUGCAUUUCAUUUAUUUUUCAUUUUAGUCCCUCAAAAAUUUAUUUUUUUAAUUUAGUCCUAAUUACUCAAAUUUACCAAAAAUUUAAAGACAAAACAUGUUAAUCUAACACAUAUAUUUCAUAAUCCAUCAUCAAACAUCAUAGAACACAAUUAUUCAUUAAUGGCAUAACUCAAAAUAUUCAUCAAAAUCAAAAAUUCUAGCAUGGGUCAGAUAGUAUUCGAAGCAACGAUCUCAAAAAUAUAAAAAUUAUCAAAAACCGAGCUAGAACUCACCUUGAAUCAAGCUCAACAAUGGCCGAAUACCCUAGCUUUGUUUCUUUAAUUUCUUUUGUUUUGUUUCGUGAUGAAGAUGAAGGGAAAAA
rnacentral:lncRNA from 1 species